AAUAAACAUCGAUAAGUACUGGUCACUCAAUGAUCGAACUAACUUUUUCAAAACAAAAUGGCUGCCAAUAUGGCGGCGCCCAGGGCUGGAAGAAUUUUUUUUUGGUCUUAGUAACCCUGAUUCAACUUUCAUUUUUCACUGAUUUUCAUAUAUAUACGUGUUACCAUUAAUCCUCGCUUAGCUGCGCUCGGUAUAAGUUCAAGCAAGUAAUAUGUAAUUUUGAUUAAUAAAAGUUUGCCCACUGUUUUUUUUUUUCCCUCCUCUGACCCAAAUUUUUUACAACAAAAUCCAUAAAACUAAAAAUUAAAUUUCUCUCGCCUUAAAUGUUUUGUAAUUCUGUGAGUUAAGUGACAAAUAAAUCAAUCCUUGUACUUCUGUGUAUUUUGGAGGCAUUAGUGCAACUAUUUGAGCCAAUUACAACCGUUAUGUGGGUCAUUCUAAAAAAAGUGGAUUUUUUCAAGUAACACUUAUUUCAAAACAAAGUACUUACAACAAGAUUGAAUUUAUCAUAUUUUGAAUCGGGCAUAUCAUGAUGUUUGUUUGAUAAAACAACAGUACAUCAAAUGAAAAUCUAUAAAUAUGAUAUUUACAACCACAUGAAAAGAAAACAGUCUUUGGUGUACGUAACGCAUAAGAAAUAUUGAUAAAUUUAAUUAAAUAAAUCUUAUUGUUCAUGCAUUUGGUUUGGUGUUAAAAUAACAUGACAAUGAUGCAAGGUAUGUGUAAUUCUUGUUAGAUGUGCUCGCCACAACGGUAGUACCGGCAAAACAGAUUCAUACAUGCCAACUAUCCCGAUUUUUGUGGGAUUCUCCCGAUUUCACGUCGUCAAAAUUAUAAAUCCCGAUAUCCCGAUCGGGAUUGUCAAAAUACCCCGAAAUCCCGAUUCUCAAAAAAUCCAACCCGUUUUACGACAAUAAGUCCAGAUUUCCAUCUUAAAUUUCAAAUCCCGCGCUGCUUGUCUACGCUAACCAAUCAAAAAGCGGGAUUAUGACCGCCAUUGCUGUUUACCUGUAUCGCGUGUGUGUAUAAUCGGGAUGUGUGAAUUGAUGUAAUUACCUGUACGCUGUCUGGGUGUUUGCAAACCUAAUGAGGAGCAUGUUUUGAUAGUAAUUAAUCGGGAAAUAUCGGGAUGAACAGCAAAAUGCCACACUUUAAAGUUUUUACACAAACUUCGACAAGAAUGGGGUUACACCACCAAAGAAAACGAAACUUUUAUCCCAAUAUCGGGAGGCAGAUUCCCGAUUUUCGGGAUGACUAUCGGGAUCGUAAUUGGAUGACAACCAUGUAUAUUGCCGUGUAAUAGGUAUGUUUAACUUAUAUAUAGUACAACUGAAUAUAUUUAUUGACUAUUGUGUACACAUGACACUAGGCGAGAUUGACAGCUACAAGAAGAAUAGAUAUGUUAAACUUCAUGAGUAACAAUUUUUUAUUUUUAUUUUGAGGGAUUUUAGGGUAGACCAUGGUGGAAUGAAUGAUGUUACAAAGAUCACGAAUCCAUCAAGCCACCUGCUGCUACCAACUUCUUUGUGAAAUCAAAAUUGGAGCAAGAUGAAGAUGUCACAAGAGCAGAGGUCCUGUUUGCCAACUGCGUUGCAGAGCUUAGUGCUUUUUGAACGGCUAUACCAUACUAUUUAUUGUUUGUUGAGAUUUUAAAGAUUGAUUUAAUAAAGAUUGAUUUAAUAUAUGAAAAUAAAGUUAUGUACUUUAUUUAUGAUUUCAUUUGAAAGAGGAGAUUGUUUGAUAAACACAUUAGGCUAAUGUUAAAUAGAUAAAGAAACAGAUGAAUUUCUAAGAGUUCAAUUGUUCAUACAAAGCAAUUACACGACAAAAUGCCGCGAAAUUUCCUUCUAGCAAAAUGUCGUCACGCGUAAAAUCCCCCAUGGAGAUUUUCAAAAGUUGGCAUGUAUGCAGAUUAUGUGCAUAUAUGAAUGCAAACCAGGGUUUUAUAACUUAUUUCAAUUCUUUUAAAGGUUAUAAUUAAUUACGGAGCAAUAAUAACACGAGAAAAAUAUCUUAAUACAGUGAGAUGUUUCGCUCCAAUGGAGGUGCGAAACAUAUUGAGGUGCGAGUCAUCUCCGCGCGAAACAGAAUAGCUGCGAUCCCGGAUUCUUUAAAUGCUUACCUAUAUAGGUCAACAUCACAAUGAUAAUCCAAUUAGAGCACAAUAUGGAUCCUUUUUGCUUAUCAUCACAAAAGAAACGUUUAUCCGUGUUAUUUAAUCCUUUUCUGCAUAUGGAAAACACCGGAAAGUACAUCACUAGCACGUGCAAGUUAACUGGGUAAAACUAAUACCCGCUAACGUGGCCUGCAGGGUGUUGCUAAAAUGCGGAACGGAAAACGGGACGGAACGGAUAACAUUUUUAAGUUAAAAUCACAAUUUCUUUAAUUCAUUAAACAUGUUAAAUUGGUUUUCUGAGAUUCGCGGCGGGGGAGGGGUGUUGUGAUGGAUUUUAGCUUCUCAUUGAGAUACGAUAGGAUGGUGAUACGCUUGAUUAGAUGACAUAUCAAACAAACAAAAAUGACAAUGAAUAUCAAAGUGAAAGAAAAAAAUAAUUAAAAAAUUAAGAAAAAUAUGUGAACGCAUGUUUAAAUAAUAUACAAGUCGUAUGAA